GGAAAUCACGGCACGGAGAAUUGAGGUUUUAAGAAUUAUGUGAGAGAAUACAAACAUGAAAUAAAUGCUAAUAUAAUCUGAAGUCAUUAUCCAUAAUUCAGCUAACACUUUCUGUGUGCUAAAGGACAAGCAUCAUGUUUAGUAUUUUAUACACACUCUCUCAUUUAAAUAUACGAUGCCAGAAACAACGAUGACUUCACCAACAGAAGGAAAACGGAGUGCAAAACACAAGUUUGGACUAUGGGAAGAUUUAGGGAAGUUUGCCUUUUUAUGGCAAGAAGCGUUGGAGGUAAGAAAACAGAGAUCACUUGACAAGAAUAUGAAUAUGAACAUGAAUCUACCACAAUCAAGCCCAUCGUUAAUUAGACCUGGGUGAGUCCACCAGUGACCUGAUGGACUCCUGGGGUUAAGGAAGCAGGUGCUCUGUAGGAAAUAUCUGUCCCACCUCAACCAGCAUUGGACAGCUUUUCAGUGCUAGCAAACGGCCACCUUCCAAGCAGUAUUCAAUUUGCUGGGGUCAGGGCAGGUAUGCGGAAUUCCUGAUAGGUUAGCUGGACUCUGUUCACAAAACCAUAAAAUAUUGGUUUGGGAAAAGAUCCACGAUUAGGAAUAGAAAAGGUCAAGUAUCCUUUCAAGGUCAAAUCUAGGUCAAAACACUAGGGAUGUAUUAUAAGGCAUGUCCAGCAUAAACUACUGGGAACUCCUUAACACAAACUUAGUAAAAUCAGACCGGUUACCUAGCCACUCUGCCUUCUCCCUUUUCUCACAACCCCAGUUCUUUUUCAGCAAACGCUUUCUUUGUGAAAUUGUGGUAAAUAGAUCUCGGGGCCCACCCAAUGGCUAAUUCACAUCCCCACUUCCUAAAACUAUUGCCAGCAAGUAUAAUUUCCUUUAUCUGAGCUCACUUCAUUUUCAGCCACCCAACCAGAAUAAAAAGAGCCAGGGGGAAGGAGAAGCAAAGAUGAAAAGGAAAGGAAGAGAAAAGUCGUUUUAUCUUGGCUGUUUUCGAAACGUCAUUUCCAGAUUCCAAGAACAGAUCAUCUCCAAGGUACAGCUCAAGUUAAAGGGACGGGACUUUUCCCUCCCCCGCCCUUCUCCACGCACCAGUGGUAGCGCAGGGAGGAGACGGAUGAGAGAACAGAGAAAGGGAAAAGUGAGAGAAGGAAAACAAAAAAGAGAAGCAAGGGGAGCUGAAGGCAGGAAGAAAGGAAGGCAAGAACACAGGAGCCUCGGAGGUGGUGGAGAGCCCCAGGCGUCCACCCUGGCGCCGCGCGCGACUCCCGCAGCGCGCAGUCAGCUCCGCGGCUCCGAGAGCAGCCGGGACGUGCAGCUGUCCUCCCAGCCACGGUCGGCGCCCUGUGGGGUCGCCCCUGCCCGCCUGCGCCACGGGCGAAGGGGCCACCUUGCCCGCUCCGGCCCGCUACGAGUCCCGCUCCCGGUGAGUGGAUUGAGGAGAGAUUGAAUGGGAAUGUGAGCCUUUCACUGACUUCUCACAAGAACAAGAACAUGAGGAAGCUGAGUGGCAAUGAAAACCAACAGUUCAAUCUAUCACAGUUUUGGUAAGCAUUCUCAGGCUUAAACCAUGAAGAAAAAUAAGUUGAGAAUUAGUGAGAAAAUGAAAAUGUAACUUAGAACAUCAAAGAACUGGAGGUAGAAGUGGCACUACAGGGAUGAAAGUAUAAGUACCAUCUCCAGAAAUGUCAGUGUUCUUGAUUAAUUGGUUCAUUAAUGGCUGGUAACAUUUAACAGUGAAAGCAAGGAUGGGUCCAGGAGCCUACUGGAAGAAAAUGGGAUAUAAACUUAGAAAUGUUGCCCAGGGAACACUUAGGUAAAUGAAAAUAAAUUAAGGAAAAAAUAAAUUAAGAGAAAUGGU
ensembl:lncRNA